rnacentral:misc_RNA from 1 species
GCCACUUGUUAGUCAUUUUAAUGCUCAGAAUCCUCUCUUUAUAGGCCCUUUUACCUUUGUGACAAAACAGAAAAUUACAUGAUUCUGUCAAAUUGAAGGCAUAAGAAAACUUUUGAUUUUGAAUGUGCUGUUCUCUACAUGUUCCCUUAACUGACUUUGCAGCUCAACUUCCAAGUUCUUUUGAUAGUUAAUGCUGCAAAGUUAUAUUGUUCCAUUUUUCCUUUCAG